rnacentral:ncRNA from 1 species
CACCUGGUUGAUCCUGCCAGUAGUCAUAUGCUUGUCUCAAAGAUUAAGCCAUGCAUGUCUAAGUAUAAGCUUUAAACGGCGAAACUGCGAAUGGCUCAUUAAAACAGUUAUAGUUUAUUUGGUGAUCGAUUACUAUUUGGAUAACCGUAGUAAUUCUAGAGCUAAUACAUGCGUCAAGGCCCGACUUCGGAAGGGCUGCGUUUAUUAGAUACAGAACCAACCUAGGCUCCGCCUAGUCCUUGUUGGUGAUUCAUAAUAACCCGGCGAAUCGCACGGCUUGUCCGGCGAUGGACCAUUCAAGUUUCUGACCUAUCAGCUAUGGACGGUAGGGUAUUGGCCUACCGUGGCGUUGACGGGUAACGGGGAAUUAGGGUCGAUUCCGAGAGGGAGCUGAGAAACGGCUACACAUCUAAGAAGCAGCAGCGCGCAAUUACCCAUCUGAUACAGGAGUAGUGACAGAAUAACAUACAGGCAUUGUCUGUCUUGUAUUGGAUGAGUAGA